UGUUCGCCGCGUGCACAUCAGAAAAGCACCAAAAACCGCUCUGCGAGGGCAAAGUGCAAGUUUAUUUUACGGUUUCACGGAACCGAGUGCUGAAAGUUGUGCUGUUUAGUUUGUGUGGUCUAGUGCGUGUUGGCAAAAAACGAACGGAAUAACUGCUUGUCCGAUCAUCGAUAGCCGCAAAUUUAGUCCCGUUAUUCAGUCGGAAAUUUUCAACCGCAUGUUCGGCAAUUCCGCGAAAAAGAGCAUCACAGAACUGAUCCCGAAGGUACUCGCCCGGAGGCUGUUGGGAAACACGGCCAGAAUCAAGCAGAAGGGCAAAACACCAUUCCACGGAACAUCCGGCAAGCGAGCCAACGCACAAAGCCACAAGCCAACAGCAAACAUAGCGCGAGGAUUGCUUCCUUCGUGCAAUUUUAGCAAAAAACACAACCUCCGGAAGUCAGCACACACGCCAAGACACCGGCCAAUGACGCAUGACAAAAGAAAGCUACCGUUAGCAAAGCAAGGCAAAGAAUAAGAAGACACAUUUGCCAAAGAGCCCCUCAUUGAAGGGGCUCUUCUUUUUUGUCUUUUUUCUUUUUGUCUUUUGCUUUCUCUAGCUUUAUGUAGGACGAGCGACGGAGGACAACCGGAGACGAGGUCGGUUCGGACUGGGAGCCAAUAAGGUGCAACGCAUGAUGACCUGCAGCAUGUUUUAAGGAAGCUCCUGCCGAAAGAAUAUCGUCGAAAGAUCGAGCACUAGAAGGACUACUCCCAGGCACUAGUCGCCGAGAUUGCAUCAAUUCGGCGAAGCAAAUCGUUGAUAUGAGGUCUGGGAGCAGCUACGCUGGGAUGUCGACAAUCGUGAGCCACACCGAGAUGGAAGGAGGAAGCCAGUCAGCCUUUGGUGUCCUGAUGACAUCGUCCGCCUGUGAACGAGAUUUUGUGCUGGUAGCCAACUCCACCAGCAUGUCGGUGUCCUGCAGAACUGUAUGCAUGUAAGUUCCCAGUGUUGAUAUUAAUAUUGUUGCCCUCUCGC